rnacentral:piRNA from 1 species
UGGGAACCCAUGAGUGAAUAACCCAACAGA